CGGGACGGGUGAGUAAUGUCUGGGAAACUGCCUGAUGGAGGGGGAUAACUGCUGGAAACGGUAGCUAAUACCGCAUAACGUCGCAAGACCAAAGAGGGGGACCUUCGGGCCUCUUGCCAUCGGAUGUGCCCAGAUGGGAUUAGCUAGUAGGUGGGGUAACGGCUCACCUAGGCGACGAUCCCUAGCUGGUCUGAGAGGAUGACCAGCCACACUGGAACUGAAACACGGUCCAG
rnacentral:rRNA from 1 species